CGAGUCGAACAGGCGGUUGCGGGCGCUCACGCGUCCGAGGAAAGUCCGGGCUGCACAGGGCAGGGUGCUGGGUAACGCCCAGUGGGGGCGACCCCAAGGAAAGUGCCACAGAAACAAACCGCCGCAUGGUCGGUAAGGGUGCAACGGUGGUGUAAGAGACCACCGGGGGCCGGGCGACCGGCCCGCCAGGCAAACCCCACCCGCAGCAAGACCCAAUAGGGGAGGCAUGACGCGGCCCGCCGACCUCCCGGGUGUGGUCGCUGGAGGCGCGCGGCAACGCGCGUCCUAGAUAGAUGACCGCCCACGACAGGACCCGGCUUACCGUUCGGCUCGCUUU
rnacentral:RNase_P_RNA from 1 species